GACGAACGCUGGCGGCGUGCCUAAUACAUGCAAGUAGAACGCUGAAGCUUGGUGCUUGCACCGAGCGGAUGAGUUGCGAACGGGUGAGUAACGCGUAGGUAACCUGCCUGGUAGCGGGGGAUAACUAUUGGAAACGAUAGCUAAUACCGCAUAAGAGUAGAUGUUGCAUGACAUUUGCUUAAAAGGUGCAAUUGCAUCACUACAAGAUGGACCUGCGUUGUAUUAGCUAGUUGGUGAGGUAACGGCUCACCAAGGCAACGAUACAUAGCCGACCUGAGAGGGUGAUCGGCCCCACUUGGACUGAGACACGGCCCCGACUCCUACGGGAGGCAGCAGUAGGGAAUCUUCGGCAAUGGACGGAAGUCUGACCGAGCAACGCCGCGUGAGUGAAGAAGGUUUUCGGAUCGUAAAGCUCUGUUGUAAGAGAAGAACGAGUGUGAGAGUGGAAAGUUCACACUGUGACGGUAUCUUACCAGAAAGGGACGGCUAACUACGUG
rnacentral:rRNA from 1 species